CGGGGGCGUGACAGUAUGCAUGCGAACCAUCAUGAGUGUUCAUUUAUAUUUAGUCACAGCUAUCUCAAGUGUUGGUAAAAAAGUUGACAAAUAGGUCAUCCUCACUGUCAUUCUAUAGAACCGUUCAUAAGAUUUUUACCUCAUAUGGCUCUUCGUUCAAUUUUUUUAAAGUAAUUAGAUCCUUUUCUUCAUUCGAGAAUCUCCUCCCUUCUUCCACUACGUCUUGAAAAGUAACUAAGACCAAUUCAGUCACAUUUCAUGUUCUAAUUGAACACUUUUCCAUUUACGAUCAAAGGAAAAGAUUAUUCCUUUUACCAAACAUAUGUGGAUCAAAUCACAAUUCUAUAAUAAGAACAAAAAUCUUUCUUGAUCAACUUCUUUGCCCCUCAUUCUUCGAGAAUCAGAAAGAUCUUUUUCAAGUUUGAAUUUGUUCAUUUGGAUCUGAGCUCUUCUAUCUUUUACUUAUUUUUUUCUAUUUACUUUUUUUUGCUUUAUUCUUUAUUUCAUUUCGAUUUUCUUUCCCUCUCUUUUCUUUUUUAUUCUUUUCCAUCAUUCCUUAAGUCCCAUAGGCUCGUUGAUCCUGUAAAAUCUGACCCAUUUUCUCAUGAGCAAAGAGCACAAAAUCAAUCAGAUUGAUUUUUCGAUCAAAACGAAGUACUAUGUGAAAUCUUUAGUUUUUUCCUUUUCCUCUGUCCCUAUUCUAUAGGUAUACCAUUUGAAUCAAUAGAGAACCUUUUUUUAUAUGAAUCGAUAUUAUUACAUUCCAAUUUCUUCCCAAUACCUCGCAAGAAAAAUCUUGAAUUGGAUCCAAAAUUGACGGGUUAGCAUAAGCUUAUCCAUACAGUUAUGCACUCUUCAAAUGGAAAUCAAUUUCCGACCUAGCUUUCAUGCUUUAGUGAGUCAUUCGAGAUCCUUUUGAUGACCUAUAUUAUGUUGAAGAGAUAUUUAUAUGAUCCGAUAGGAGUUGUAUUUCUAUUACUAUUAAAUUAAUAAAUAAAAAUGAAGUAGUUAAUGGUAGGGUUACCGUUAUCCUUGUUCUUGUAUAUGUUUUUAAGAAAAGGAAUUUAUCCAUUUUAUUAUUUUUAGAGGUCUCAAAAAAAGGAUAUGGAAACACAUAGAAACUCUUGAAUGAAAAUUGAAAUAAAUGUAGCUCAAGUUUCUUCGAAAAUAUAAGAUCUUUGGCGCAAGAAGAAGGGGCAAUCCAUAUUAUCUUGACUUAGUUCUGCUUACCUUCUUUUUCUAAUAAUACCGAGUUAAGUUUUUCUCCGAUCCGUAUCGAAUAGAAUAUGCUAAACAAAAUCUUUAUGUAAAACCUACUCGAUUUAGAUCGAAAAAAUCAUAUGGAUUUUAUGAAACCAUGUGCUAUGGCUCAAAUCCAUCGUCAAUUCUAUUUUUCAUUGGAGUAGUAGACAAUAGAAUCUAAUCUUUGGUAUUAUUUUACCAUCCAUAAUAGUGCAAAAAAGGUGGUCUUACUCGAGUUAUUCAGAAAUAGUGCUGUUGAGUUUCUCGUAAUACCUUCGUCACUCCGUUGAAUUGGCAUCUUGAACUGUGCUACUUAACGAUGUACCAAGUGAUGGGUGGAAGACGAUUGAGAGACUUUGUGGAGUGAUUUUUUUUGAAUCAACAAACUUCCAUAAAUAAGGCUAAUAAAAACAUGCCUUUAUGCCUUUUAAGAUUCCUCAGUUCCAUCCUAGCAUAGGUAACCGUUUUUCAAAUAUAAAUAGGUAUUGAUGCUAAAAAAAACUGAAUACUUAUGCCUUAACCAUUCGUCAUUGCAAAAGGGAAAAAGGAUAUUAGCAAAUAAAAAUUAAAGGAACUUUGUCUUGAUUUUUUUUUCGUUGACCAAAAUCGGUAGAGUCCUUUCAAAAUCACCUCAAGUGUCCACUAAAAACUUAGGAGUGAUGUACUUCCUCGUCAGGUCUUCGCGAGCAGAUAUGUUGAAGGCGUUCAUGAAGGCUUGGACGAUUGCCUGCAUAUUUAGCACUGGGUGGCCAACAAUUCUCAUCCCUUCCGGAAAGACGUUCCUGUUGAGCCCAUUGACAUUCGAAGGCCCCUGUCUUUACGCCAGCGUCCAUGUUCGGGUCGAAGGAAAUGUUGUGGCACCUGACAAAUUGUGGACCUCCCCAAAAUACCACUAGUUGGAUCACAUUCAGAGGCAUCACUGCUUUCACCGUCGAUGGUAAUGGCCAGAUUGACGACCGAGGUUCCGUCGGAAAUGUGAUGACGUGCCUUCCAUAAUACUUUCGACAAAGAGAAGUUGUUUUGUUUAGUUUGUUUUCUAUCAAAGGCAAGU